ACAGGUGAAGCAGCUUGGUUCUUCACCUGCAGCAGGGCACAUAGGCAGCAAAUGGGUAUACGAGAAGCAGGGAUUGAGGAUUUCAUUGAACCAACCUCAAAAAGAAGUCUGAACAACUGCUUUAGAAGCUGAGCACUUUGUUUUGUAUGGGAUGUGAAGGAUUUAUAUUGGGGUCUGUGGGUCUCUGUUGCUGGAGGUGAGAAGAGGAAGAUGGGGUUUCUGUGUAUAAACACAGCCAGGCAUGUUGCUGUUCUGCAAUAGAGGCUAGAAAAAUAUAUUUGUCUCCUCCUGCUGGUGCGAUGUUGCUGGUUUGGGGUUAGGUACGUUAUCUAUGGCCAGGAAUACCCUGCUUUAGAAGAAGAAUCAAACAACUCCCGUCCUCUCCGUGUCUUUGAUAUAUGGCACAGGAUGCACAGUUUUCUCCGGCGCUUCCCAAGUUCAUAAUUUGUGUUUCACCCUAACGCCACUUUGUGAAUUUAUUGGCUGCCAGAAACUCUCCAUCAGGGUUAUGGAGCUUUGCCUACCUUUUGGUGGUUAUAACAUUUUUUUUUUACAGGAGUGUUUAGUUAUUUUUACAUAGGUGCCACAUGGGUGGGUCGGUACCAGCCUGCCACUGGUGCAAAGUCAUAUUUUUUGAGUCUGGGAGAAUACAUCAAACCUCUGCCAGCACUUUCAUGGAUGGGGAUAUUUGGUUAAAUAGAUGUUUAUCUGGGAAAGUCAUCAUCUGGCUAGCAGCAUACUGAAUGUUUCUAAGCAGCUAACUUAUGUAUACUAAACAAAUUUGGUUUGGCUGCAGCUAGAGCUGCCCUGUGGAAAUUCUCAACAUACAUUUGUUUGAUUGAGCUGUCAUUUUCAGUUGAUCUGCUGAUGAUCUGUGUCACUUUGUUUAAAUGUCCCGGUGUUUUUUUUUUUUCAUACAGUGCAAAAAC